rnacentral:tRNA from 1 species
GGAGAUUUAGCUCAGUGGUAGAGCACUUGCCUAGCAAGCACAAGGCCCUGGGCUGGGUCCUAAGCUCCA